rnacentral:rRNA from 1 species
UCCCUUGACGGUACUUAAUGAAUAAGCCCUGGCUAAUUAUGUGCCAGCAGCCGCGGUAAUACAUAAGGGGCGAGCGUUAUCCGGAAUUAUUGGGCGUAAAGGGUGCGUAGGCGGUUUAAUAAGUCUAUAGUUUAAUUUCAGCGCUUAACGCUGUUGCGCUAUAGAAACUGUUUUACUAGAGUGAGUUAGAGGCAAGCGGAAUUCCAUGUGUAGCGGUAAAAUGCGUAAAUAUAUGGAGGAACACCAGAGGCGUAGGCGGCUUGCUGGGACUUUACUGACGCUGAGGCACGAAAGCGUGGGGAGCAAACAGGAUUAGAUACCCUGGUAGUCCACGCCGUAAACGAUGAGUACUAAGUGUCGGGUAAAACCGGUACUGAAGUUAACACAUUAAGUACUCCGCCUGAGUAGUACGUACGCAAGUAUGAAACUUAAAGGAAUUGACGGGACUCCGCACAAGCGGUGGAUCAUGUUGUUUAAUUCGAAGAUACACGAAAAACCUUACCAGGUCUUGACAUUUUCUUGCGAAGUUAUAGAAAUAUAAUGGAGGUUAUCAGGAAAACAGGUGGUGCAUGGUUGUCGUCAGCUCGUGUCGUGAGAUGUUAGGUUAAGUCCUAAAACGAGCGCAACCCUUGUCGUUAAUUGCCAGCAUGUAAUGAUGGGGACUUUAACGAGACUGCCAAUGAAAAAUUGGAGGAAGGUGGGGAUUACGUCAAAUCAUCAUGCCCCUUAUGAUCUGGGCUACAAACGUGAUACAAUGGUUGAUACAAAGAGUAGCUGAAACGCGAGUUCUUAGCCAAUCUCACAAAAUCAUCCUAC